rnacentral:rRNA from 1 species
GAUGAACGCUGACAGAAUGCUUAACACAUGCAAGUCUUUGGCGAAGCUGUGCUUGCACAGCCUAGCCAAGGCGGACGGGUGAGUAACGCGUAAGGAACUUGCCCUGCAGUCAGGGAUAACAGACGGAAACGACUGAUAAGACCUGGUAAAGUCAGGCGGACUCAUGUCCAGCCUGAUGAAAAGAGAUGCUGCAGGAGAGCCUUGCGUCCUAUUAGCUUGUUGGUGGGGUAACGGCCCACCAAGGCGAUGAUAGGUAGCCGGCCUGAGAGGGUGGACGGCCACAAGGGGACUGAGAUACGGCCCUUACUCCUACGGGAGGCAGCAGUGGGGAAUAUUGGACAAUGGGGGCAACCCUGAUCCAGCAAUUCUGUGUGCACGAUGAAGGUUUUCGGAUUGUAAAGUGCUUUCAGCAGGGAAGAAAAAAAUGACGGUACCUGCAGAAGAAGCGACGGCUAAAUAUGUG